rnacentral:rRNA from 1 species
CAGCAGCCGCGGGAAUACGUAGGGUGCAAGCGUUAAUCGGAAUUACUGGGCGUAAAGCGUGCGCAGGCGGUUUCGUAAGACAGAUGUGAAAUCCCCGGGCUUAACCUGGGAACUGCAUUUGUGACUGCGAGGCUAGAGUGUGUCAGAGGGGGGUGGAAUUCCACGUGUAGCAGUGAAAUGCGUAGAUAUGUGGAGGAACACCGAUGGCGAAGGCAGCCCCCUGGGAUAACACUGACGCUCAUGCACGAAAGCGUGGGGAGCAAACAGGAUUAGAUACCCCGGUAGUCCCUGUCUCUUAUAC